AGUCGAGCGAGAAGACGUAGCAAUACGUUUGUAAAGCGGCGAACGGGUGAGGAAUACAUGGGUAACCUACCCUCGAGUGGGGAAUAACUAGCCGAAAGGUUAGCUAAUACCGCGUACGCUCCUUGGACUUCGGUUCAGGGAGGAAAGCGAGGCCGUGGGUCUCGCGCUCUUGGAUGGGCUCAUGUCCUAUCAGCUUGUUGGUGAGGUAACGGCUCACCAAGGCUUCGACGGGUAGCUGGUCUGAGAGGACGAUCAGCCACACUGGCACUGCGACACGGGCCAGACUCCUACGGGAGGCAGCAGUAAGGAAUAUUGCGCAAUGGGCGAAAGCCUGACGCAGCGACGCCGCGUGGGGGAUGAAGGUCUUCGGAUUGUAAACCCCUUUCGGGAGGGAAGAUGGAGCGAGCAAUCGUUCGGACGGUACCUCCAGAAGCAGCCACGGCUAACUUCGUGCCAGCAGCCGCGGUAAUACGAAGGUGGCAAGCGUUGUUCGGAUUUACUGGGCGUACAGGGAGCGUAGGCGGUUCGGUAAGCCCUCUGUGAAAUCUCCAGGCUUAACCUGGAACAGUCGGAGGGGACUGCCGGGCUAGAGGACGGGAGAGGA
rnacentral:rRNA from 1 species